AUUGAACGCUGGCGGAAUGCUUUACACAUGCAAGUCGAACGGCAGCACGGGGCAACCUGGUGGCGAGUGGCGAACGGGUGAGUAAUAUAUCGGAACGUGCCCAAUCGUGGGGGAUAACGUAGCGAAAGUUACGCUAAUACCGCAUACGAUCUACGGAUGAAAGCGGGGGAUCGCAAGACCUCGCGCGAGUGGAGCGGCCGAUGUCAGAUUAGGUAGUUGGUGGGGUAAAGGCUCACCAAGCCAACGAUCUGUAGCUGGUCUGAGAGGACGACCAGCCACACUGGAACUGAGACACGGUCCAGACUCCUACGGGAGGCAGCAGUGGGGAAUUUUGGACAAUGGGCGCAAGCCUGAUCCAGCCAUUCCGCGUGCAGGAUGAAGGCCUUCGGGUUGUAAACUGCUUUGUACGGAACGAAACGGCGAGCUCUAAUACAGUUUGCUAAUGACGGUACCGUAAGAAUAAGCACCGGCUAACUACGUGCCAGCAGCCGCGGUAAAG
rnacentral:rRNA from 1 species